UGCGGAGGAAGAAGGACUAGAACAACGGCGAACUUGCUUUUCUCGCUCACGAAACUCGGUGGAAUCCUUCGAUUUCUUUCUUGCUGGCGUUGAUUCUGUUCGCAGCGUGGUUAGAGAGUUGGCCUUCCCUUCGGGACGAAUGUGCCUCAGCGGAAGGAAAAGGAAACGUGACAACGACUUCUGGAGGCUCAAAUCAUCAUUGAUGAUUUAAAAAAAAUUAGAGUAACGCCGUGAACCCAGCCCUCACUCUUUGCCGCAUCUUGACCUUCUUUACUCGUGCUGUCUAUGCAUUUAUAGUUGGAAUCAUUCCCGCGAGGAGGUUCCCGUGAAUGAAGGAUUACUCACGGAAACCUAGGAUCCCAAUGUUCAUUCGAGCAACAAUGGAGGCUGCACGCGCCAGAAGACCCUGAAGAGUUAGGUAUUCUUUAGAGCUUGCGUGGAUCCCUCUUGUCAGCGACAAUCAAGCGUUUGUCCACUACGGGUUUCACCGGUGGAUGGAGCCGCGGUAAAGAACAACGGAUUCUUCUGCGCAGCGGUCUGAUCCCUUCACGACGCUACGACCGUAAAAAGAACGUUUUUACGAUAGCUUAACUCUGCAGCACAUAUACCACCAGUAUUGUGGCCUGCUGCUUUUAUAGCUUUUAAUGAGUUUUUGUUUGUUUGCUUUUUUUAUUUUUCUUGGCUAAAGGCAUUCGCAAAACGCAUAACAAGCCUGUAGACCACUGUCUCAAGCUUCUGUUUUCUUGGUUAUCAGUGAACGUAAACUUGGCGCAUUCUUUUGCGUCAUAAUUUUCCAUUAUUCACUCCUAGCCAUACAAAGCAACACGAGUGAGUUGCUUUUUCUUCGAUAGCUUACCUGUCCUUUCAAAGAAAUGACGCAGGACAUGCUAUCAGUUUGAGCAUACCUUCACAUCUGUAGCCGUUAAGUUUAUUUUUGUAGCCCUUAUAUUAAUUUCUGCUUGAAAUGCAUGCAGUAAAAUAGAAUAUCGUUAUCUGCAUGGCACUGCCCUGCCAUAUGAAGUGCAGCAAUCUGUCACCGUUAAGAAACUAUAUUUGCACGCUCCAAGAUUAGGUUAGGUUAGUUA